UACGUAGGGAGCAAGCGUUGUCCGGAAUCAUUGGGCGUAAAGCGCGCGUAGGUGGCUUCGUAAGUCCGUUGUGAAAGCAAAGGCUCAACCUUUGAAAGCCGAUGGAUACUGCGGAGCUAGAGUACGGAAGAGGCGAGUGGAAUUCCUGGUGGUAGCGGGUGGAAUGCGCAGAUAUCAGGAGGAACACCAAUAGCGAAGGCAGCGUCGCUGGGACGUUACUGACACUCGAGGCGCGAAAGCGUGGGAGCGAACAGG
rnacentral:rRNA from 1 species